UGAUAACUACGAUGAUGACAAUGAUGAUUUUGAUACCAACAUUGCUUUGUUUUCUCUUCCCAGCCAAGCCCGUCCGUCCGGGCCAGUUCCCACUCUGCUCCCCCACCAACCCGUGGGUUCGCAUUACUGAACAGCAACACUCCAUCCAUUUUAGUAACGCCAUGUUCCAGAUCCCCAGCCAGACAGCUAGCCAUCACACCAGCCACCCUGCUGCUCCCCCAGCUACAGCAUCUAACUCCAACCCCACCCAGACCAACAAUCACCACUCCAAUGAGACCAGCCUCCAUCAGACCAAGACGCUGGCAGCUGAGCCACCCAACACCACCACAGUGGACAACGGCACAGUAAAGGACACUACAGUGCAGAAGACUACAGUGGAUAACCCAACAGUGGACAAUGCCGCCACAGUAGAUCAUUCUCCAGUGAAGCACCCUACAGUGGAUAACACUACAGUGAAUAGUGCCGCAGUGGAUAACUCCCCAGUGAAGCACCCUACAGAGAAGGACACUACAGAAAAAGGCUCUACAUUGAAGGACCCUACAGUCAACUCUACAGAAAUGGUGGACGUUGACAGUGUCAACGGUAAGGUUAACAGCAUUCAAUGUUCCCCACUUCAACUCACUCCUCACUUGGUCUGCUCCAUAGAAAUACAGUAG
rnacentral:lncRNA from 1 species